UACGUAGGCAGCGAGCGUUGUUCGGAGUUACUGGGCGUAAAGAGCGCGCAGGCGGUCGUCCAAGUCGCGUGUGAAAGCCCCCGGCUCAACUGGGGAGGGUCACGCGAUACUGGUCGACUCGAAGGCAGGAGAGGGUAGUGGAAUUCCCGGUGUAGUGGUGAAAUGCGUAGAUAUCGGGAGGAACACCAGUGGCGAAGGCGACUACCUGGCCUGUUCUUGACGCUGAGGCGCGAAAGCUAGGGGAGCAAACGGGG
rnacentral:rRNA from 1 species